rnacentral:rRNA from 1 species
UACGGGGGGGGCAAGCGUUGUUCGGAAUUACUGGGCGUAAAGGGCUCGUAGGCGGCCAACUAAGUCCGACGUGAAAUCCCAAGGCUUAACCUUGGAACUGCGUCGGAUACUGGAUGGCUUGAAUUCGGGAGAGGGAUGCAGAAUUCCAGGUGUAGCGGUGAAAUGCGUAGAUAUUGGGAGGAACACCAGUGGCGAAGGCGGCUCACUGGACCGGAACUGACGCUGAGGCGCGAAAGCGUGGGGAGCAAACGGG